rnacentral:ribozyme from 11 species
ACAUGCACUCGACUUGAAAACAAAUUACAAAUUCAAUCAGACUGCAUGGAUGGGAAUUUUCUUUGAAGCUGACAACUAAACCAGCAAUCUAUCGAUUUUUUCUUUCUUUGUAUUUUUCCUCCCACACAGUUCGAAAAAUGAAUGCAAAACCAGCACGGCUUUGCAAGAAACAAAAGACAAAAAAAGUCAGUGCAU